rnacentral:rRNA from 1 species
GGUCAAGUGAAGAAGCGCAUACGGUGGAUGCCUUGGCAGUCAGAGGCGAUGAAAGACGUGGUAGCCUGCGAUAAGCUUUGGGGAGUCGGCAAACAGACUGUGAUCCAGAGAUCUCUGAAUGGGGGAACCCAGCCAGCACAAGCUGGUUAUCUUGUACUGAAUACAUAGGUGCAAGAGGCGAACCAGGGGAACUGAAACAUCUAAGUACCCUGAGGAAAAGAAAUCAACCGAGAUUCCCUUAGUAGUGGCGAGCGAACGGGGACCAGCCCUUAAGCUGGUUUGAGAUUAGUGGAACGCUCUGGAAAGUGCGGCCAUAGUGGGUGAUAGCCCCGUACACGAAAAUCUCUUGCCAGUGAAAUCGAGUAGGACGGAGCACGAGAAACUUUGUCUGAACAUGGGGGGACCAUCCUCCAAGGCUAAAUACUACUGACUGACCGAUAGUGAACCAGUACCGUGAGGGAAAGGCGAAAAGAACCCCGGAGAGGGGAGUGAAAUAGAACCUGAAACCGUAUGCGUACAAGCAGUGGGAGCCUACUUUGUUAGGUGACUGCGUACCUUUUGUAUAAUGGGUCAGCGACUUAUAUUCAGUGGCGAGCUUAACCGAAUAGGGGAGGCGUAGCGAAAGCGAGUCUUAAUAGGGCGCUUUAGUCGCUGGGUAUAGACCCGAAACCGGGCGAUCUAUCCAUGGGCAGGUUGAAGGUUAGGUAACACUGACUGGAGGACCGAACCGACUACCGUUGAAAAGUUAGCGGAUGACCUGUGGAUCGGAGUGAAAGGCUAAUCAAGCUCGGAGAUAGCUGGUUCUCCUCGAAAGCUAUUUAGGUAGCGCCUCAUGUAUCACUGUAGGGGGUAGAGCACUGUUUCGGCUAGGGGGUCAUCCCGACUUACCAAACCGAUGCAAACUCCGAAUACCUACAAGUGCCGAGCAUGGGAGACACACGGCGGGUGCUAACGUCCGUCGUGAAAAGGGAAACAACCCAGACCGUCAGCUAAGGUCCCAAAGUCAUGGUUAAGUGGGAAACGAUGUGGGAAGGCUUAGACAGCUAGGAGGUUGGCUUAGAAGCAGCCACCCUUUAAAGAAAGCGUAAUAGCUCACUAGUCGAGUCGGCCUGCGCGGAAGAUGUAACGGGGCUCAAACCAUGCACCGAAGCUACGGGUGUCAUCUUUGAUGACGCGGUAGAGGAGCGUUCUGUAAGCCUGUGAAGGUGAGUUGAGAAGCUUGCUGGAGGUAUCAGAAGUGCGAAUGCUGACAUGAGUAACGACAAUGCGAGUGAAAAACUCGCACGCCGAAAGACCAAGGUUUCCUGCGCAACGUUAAUCGACGCAGGGUUAGUCGGUCCCUAAGGCGAGGCUGAAAAGCGUAGUCGAUGGAAAACAGGUUAAUAUUCCUGUACUUCCAGUUAUUGCGAUGGAGGGACGGAGAAGGCUAGGCCAGCUUGGCGUUGGUUGUCCAAGUUUAAGGUGGUAGGCUGAGAUCUUAGGCAAAUCCGGGAUCUCAAGGCCGAGAGCUGAUGACGAGUGCUCUUUAGAGCGCGAAGUGGUUGAUGCCAUGCUUCCAAGAAAAGCUCCUAAGCUUCAGAUAACUGGGAACCGUACCCCAAACCGACACAGGUGGUUAGGUAGAGAAUACCAAGGCGCUUGAGAGAACUCGGGUGAAGGAACUAGGCAAAAUGGCACCGUAACUUCGGGAGAAGGUGCGCCGGUGAGGGUGAAGCACUUGCUGCGUAAGCCCACGCCGGUCGAAGAUACCAGGCCGCUGCGACUGUUUAUUAAAAACACAGCACUCUGCAAACACGAAAGUGGACGUAUAGGGUGUGACGCCUGCCCGGUGCCGGAAGGUUAAUUGAUGGGGUUAGCGCAAGCGAAGCUCUUGAUCGAAGCCCCGGUAAACGGCGGCCGUAACUAUAACGGUCCUAAGGUAGCGAAAUUCCUUGUCGGGUAAGUUCCGACCUGCACGAAUGGCGUAACGAUGGCGGCGCUGUCUCCACCCGAGACUCAGUGAAAUUGAAAUCGCUGUGAAGAUGCAGUGUAUCCGCGGCUAGACGGAAAGACCCCGUGAACCUUUACUAUAGCUUUGCACUGGACUUUGAGCUUGCUUGUGUAGGAUAGGUGGGAGGCUUUGAAGUGGGGACGCCAGUUCUCAUGGAGCCAUCCUUGAAAUACCACCCUGGCAACCUUGAGGUUCUAACUCAGGUCCGUUAUCCGGAUCGAGGACAGUGUAUGGUGGGUAGUUUGACUGGGGCGGUCUCCUCCCAAAGAGUAACGGAGGAGUACGAAGGUGCGCUCAGACCGGUCGGAAAUCGGUCGUAGAGUAUAAAGGCAAAAGCGCGCUUGACUGCGAGACACACACGUCGAGCAGGUACGAAAGUAGGU